rnacentral:rRNA from 1 species
UACGUAGGGUGCGAGCGUUAAUCGGAAUUACUGGGCGUAAAGCGGGCGCAGACGGUUACUUAAGCAGGAUGUGAAAUCCCCGGGCUCAACCUGGGAAUUGCGUUCUGAACUGGGUGGCUAGAGUGUGUCAGAGGGGGGUAGAAUUCCACGUGUAGCAGUGAAAUGCGUAGAGAUGUGGAGGAAUACCGAUGGCGAAGGCAGCCCCCUGGGAUAGCACUGACGUUCAUGCCCGAAAGCGUGGGUAGCAAACAGU